AUUGAACGCUGGCGACAUGCCUUACACAUGCAAGUCGAACGGCAGCACGGGUUCUUGCACCUCGUGGCGACUGGCGAACGGGUGAGUUAUACAUCGGAACAUGUUAUGUCGUGGGGGAGAGCCCUGCGAAAGCCGGAUUUAUACCGCAUACGAUUUACUGGCCAAUGCGUGGGCCCGCCUUGCCUUGCGCCGUAGGUUUGGUCGAUGCCUGAUGAGCUAGUUGGUGGUGUAUAGGCUUAGCAAGGCGACGAUCAGUAGCUGGUUUGAGAGGGAGACCAGCCACACUGGGACUGAGACACGGCCCAGACUCCUACGGUAGGCAGCAGUGGGGAAUUUUGGACAAUGGGCGAAAGCCUGAUACAGCAAUGCCGCGUGUGUGAAGAAGGACUUCGGGUGGUAAAGCGCUUUUGUCCGGAGAGAAAUCAUUGGCCCUAAUACGGUCGGAGAAUGACGGUACCGGAAGAAUAAGCACCGGCUAACUACGUG
rnacentral:rRNA from 1 species